AGAUUGAACGCUGGCGGCAUGCCUAACACAUGCAAGUCGAACGGGAGUAGCAAUACUCUAGUGGCGGACGGGUGAGGAAUACGUAGGAAUUUGCCCUUAAGUGGGGGAUAACCCGGGGAAACCCGGAUUAAUACCGCAUGACCUCGAAAGAGCAAAGUGGGGGAUCGCAAGACCUCACGCUUUUGGAGAAGCCUACGUCGGAUUAGCUAGUUGGUGAGGUAAUGGCUCACCAAGGCGACGAUCCGUAACUGGUCUGAGAGGAUGAUCAGUCACACCGGAACUGAGACACGGUCCGGACUCCUACGGGAGCAGCAGUGGGGAAUAUGGACAAUGGGCGCAAGCCUGAUCCAGCAAUGCCGCGUGUGUGAAGAAGGCCUUCGGGUUGUAAAGGACAACGUUUAAGGUUAGGAAGAAAAAACUCGACGUACUAACACAGUGAGUCGUUGACGUACCGACAAGAAUAAGCACCGGACUAACC
rnacentral:rRNA from 1 species